GACGAAGGACCCGAGCGUUAUCCGGAUCCAUUGGGUUUAAAGGGUGCGUAGGCGGACUGAUAAGUCAGUGGUGAAAUCCCCAGGCUCAACUUGGGAACUGCCAUUGAUACUGUCGGUCUUGAAUACAGCUGAUGUGGGCGGAAUAUGACAUGUAGCGGUGAAAUGCUUAGAUAUGUCAUAGAACACCGAUUGCGAAGGCAGCUCACAAAACUGUUAUUGACGCUGAGGCACGAAAGCGUGGGGAUCAAACAGG
rnacentral:rRNA from 1 species